GACCAAUCCGGUGGCCUAGUGGUUAGAGCGUCCGCUUCGAAUGCGGUAGGUUGCGGGUUCGAACACUGGCCGAGUCA